UACGAAGGGGGCUAGCGUUGUUCGGAAUUACUGGGCGUAAAGCGCAUGUAGGCGGUUAUCCAAGUCGGGUGUGAAAGCCUUGAGCUCAACUCAAGAAAUGCACUCGGUACUGGGUGACUAGAGGACCGGAGAGGAUAGUGGAAUUCCCAGUGUAGUGGUGAAAUACGUAGAGAUUGGGAAGAACACCAGUGGCGAAGGCGGCUAUCUGGACGGUUUCUGACGCUAAGACGCGAAAGCGUGGGGAGCAAACAGG
rnacentral:rRNA from 1 species